CUGGGGGAGAAGAGGGCAGAAGGGCCGGUGAGGGAAAGCUAGCGAAGGAACGGCAGGCGUGGAAGGUGCGUUUCCGAGCAGAGACUCAUCGUGAACCAGAGCAUAGGAACAGCUCUUUCAAUUGCAGACAUCCCAAUGAGCUAGAAGGCUAUGGAGAGGCCAGAACAUUCUGGCACACAGGGACGUGUAAUAAUACUCAUAUUGGCUAACAUUUAUGGAGGUUUAUUGCAAGCCGGGCGCUGUGCUGAGAACAUUACUCAUUUGAACUUCACAACAGCCAUAGAAAAGCAGGUGCUAUUACUAUUAUCCUCGGUUUGCAGAUGUGAAAGCUGAGACCGGGAAAGAUGAAGUCAUUUAUCCAGGUCUUUUAAAUGCCAAAGCCCAAGCUAGAAUCACUACUGUGCUGCCUGAAUGAACAGGUACAAUGCCAUUGCAAUGGGAAGAAGAAAGAUCAGUGCCUGAGAUAUUUUACAGACCCUGCACUUGAUGGAUCAGCUGGCACCACCCAGAUAAAUUAACUGGCUCAUCUGAUCUUGCGGCCCCCACCCAGGAAC
rnacentral:lncRNA from 1 species